rnacentral:lncRNA from 1 species
GACAAAAAUAGGGGCACCACCAUUUACAUGGCAGAUCUGCCAUGGAUGACAGUGGUGUUUAAACCAGCUGAAUGCUGUGGUGCAAUGUACUGAGAUUUAUCUAUACUUAGUUAUGUGGAUUUACGGAUUCUAUCCAGUUUUAAUUUAACCCUCAAAAAUUGGUAUCUGACAAAUGGUACCUGUAGAAACCACUCAUUAAAGACAUAAGUAGUGGUGGGGCAUGGUGGCUCUCACCUGUAAUCCCAGCACUCUGGGAGGCAGGCAGAUCGCUUGAGCCCAGGAGUUUGAGACCAGCCUGAGCAAUAUACUAAAACCCCAUCUCUACAAAAAAUACAAAAAUUAGCUGGGUGUGGUGGCCUGAGGUGGGACAAUCAUUUGAGCGCAGGAGAUGGAGGCUGCAGUGAGCUGUGAUCAUGCCACCGUACUCCAACCCAGGUGGCAGAGUGAGAUCUUGUCUCAAAAACAAACAAAAAAAGACGUAAGCACUAAUGCAAAGUAUGAACAAUAAGAAAAUAACAGCACUGAGUCAUCUAAAAAAAUAAAACCCCCCUCAAUGAUAGUUUGAUCAGUCCUGAUAAUUGGAUAAAAAAAUAGAAAUGCUAGACUAUCUGAAUAUGGCUUUAUAUAAACCUCACUUUAAGUGGACAUUGAGUUUUGAGAAUUAUCUAAUGACAGUAGUACAUACACAUAUGAAUUACAGACAUAUAUCUGAAGUAUGUUUGAAUUCUAUUUUUAAAAAUUCCUUGGUAAUAUUUAUGUAAAAUAACAUCCUCUCACAACUGGGGGAUGGGUAGGAGUCAAACUAUCAUCGCAUUUUACACAACGAAGACACCGAUAAAAGGUAGGGUUCAUUCUCAUUAUUCUCUGAUUCUUUCUUUGCAAGUUUACCUACUUGCUAAAAUGUGUAAUCCCAAAACUAGCACUUGAGGUCCGUUAGCAGUUGCUCACAGACAGCCACA